GGUCUCAUGGUCUAGUUGGUUAUGGCGUCUGUCUAACACACAGAAGGUCCCCAGUUCGAACCUGGGUGAGAUCA